rnacentral:rRNA from 1 species
CCUACGGGAGGCAGCAGUAGGGAAUCUUUCACAAUGGGCGAAAGCCUGAUGGAGCAACGCCGCGUGCAGGAUGAAGGCCUUCGGGUUGUAAACUGCUUUUAUAAGCGAGAAAUAUGAUGGUAACUUAUGAAUAAGGAUCGGCUAACUACGUGCCAGCAGCCGCGGUCAUACGUAGGAUCCGAGCAUUAUCCGGAGUGACUGGGUGUAAAGAGUUGCGUAGGUGGCAUAAUAAGUAGCUAGUGAAAUCUGGUGGCUCAACCAUUCAGACUAUUAGCUAAACUGUUAAGCUCGAGACCGUUAGGGGUAACUGGAAUUUCUGGUGUAGGAGUGAAAUGCGUAGAUAUUAGACGGAACACCGAUAGCGUAGGCAGGUUGCUGGGACGGUUCUGACACUGAGGCACGAAAGCGUAGGGAGCGAACGGGAUUAGAUACCCCAGUAGUC